rnacentral:misc_RNA from 1 species
GAUGAAGAACGUAGCGAAAUGCGAUAAGUAAUGUGAAUUGCAGAAUUCCGUGAAUCAUCGAAUCUUUGAACGCACAUUGCGCCAUCUGGUAGUCCGGGGGGCAUGCCUGUCCGAGCGUCAUUUGCAACCCUCAAGCCCGGCUUGUGUGAUGGGUGCCGUCCCCUACGGGACGCGCCCCGAAGGCAAUGGCGGCGUCGCGGUUAUCCGAUCAGCCAAAGUGUAUGGGGCUUUGUCACUCACUUUACGGCCCGGACCGGCGCCAGUCCGAAUCAAUCUUUUUUCUAAAGUUGACCUCGGAUCAGGUAGGGAUACCCGCUGAACUUAAGCAUAUCAAUAAGCGGAGGA